rnacentral:tRNA from 2 species
AAGUGAGAAGCAAAUAUUUUGCAAUCAGUUUCGACCUGAUCUUAGAUAACAAACUUAUCCUCACUUU